CUAUGAUUAAGUUCAUGGCGAAAGGAG
rnacentral:ncRNA from 1 species